rnacentral:tRNA from 1 species
GGCCGGGGUUGGUGUAAUUUUUCUACAUAAGUCGUUGAAAAAAUCAGGCCGGGUCAGUUUUUCUGAUAGUUAAGCUGAAAAUGCGUGUGUCGGGGGUUCGACUCCCUCCCUGGCCA